AAUGUUAAUGUGCAUAAAAAUAGCUUUAUUUCCAAUAAUAAAUCAGAACCUGCAUGCAGAAGCCAAUGAUUCAUUGGCUCCUCCACUCCAUUGGUGAUUCACAUGUGGUGUUUGUGACAUUAAGCAGCAGAACAAACUCUCCCAUGUCCACCGAGCAGACCUCGGGCCCACCGCCACAAGCCGUUUGUCUUUUAUUUCAUCAGAAUCGCUGCUCCGCCCGAAGCCGAGGUCGGUUCAGGGGAGGAAAACUCUUGAUUUCUUGGUGAUUAUUUUUGGUUUCUGGGGAGGAAGGCGGCCUUGAAGCGGCGCCAAGACGUUUCUCAAGUCUCGAAUUUUUCAAAUACUUGUUAGAAAGUUUAUCUACUAGAAGGAAAAACCAACGAAACGGCGAAUUGGGCCCGAGGUCUGCUGCUGACGACAUGGCUCAUCGACAUCCCCUGAACAACGAGAUGAACACCAACCACAUAAUCAGUCCUUCUACAAACAACAACAACAACAUAAAUACAAAAGCAAAAAACAAACAAAAAAAAAAGUCUAGAAGAUAAUAGAAACUCUUACAAAAUAAAAAGUUUCAAAACUAUUUGCCUCUGAAAAUCUCAAACUAGUGUAUAUAAAACUUUUAAAAUCACAUAUACAACAGCUUAAAAAGGGCCAAAACACCCCAAACCUGAAAGAAGGCAAUAAAAUAAUUUGACAGUUAAAUUAAUACAAAAAAAAAGAAAAAAAAAAGGGAAGGAGUUGAUCUACUGGAGGAGAAAUAAAAACACUGGAGAGGAGAGUUAGUAUUAGCAUUGGUAGUAUCAAAACUCAUUUACAUUUACAGUAAAUCACAUGAACGUUACUGCCAGGGAAACAACAAAAAAAAAACAAUUUGGCAUUUAAAUAUUUGGUAGAUAUUUCCGUUGCCAGGAUGUGGCUAAGUACCAAGUUAAUAUUUUUUUUACUUUUUGUUUUAGUGACUAUUUACAGAUCCUUGGUAGAGCAGUCGGCCGUCUCCAGCUAAGAAAUGUGAGCGUCGACCCGUUCGGCGGCGUCGGCUCGUAGACCCAGAUUCAAAUCAUAAAACAAACAGUCGGUGUAGCUUAUUGAGAAAAACCUCACGACUAACAAUAAGAGAAAAAAAGUACCAAAAACAAGUUUUCUUGAACAUUAAAAUUUAAUGAAAAGAAAAAAAAAACAAAAAAAAACUUGAGGAAUUUAAGGUUUAGUUCCACAUUUUUUGGCAAAUACAGUUUUUAACGAGAAGAUCGAUACCAAACUCGCAUCUGUGCGGUGAAAAUGAGGCUACACUUAGCCUAGCCUAGCUUAGCACAAACAGAAGGAAGCAGCUAGCCAACGUGUCGUUUAGCUCGUUUCGUUUGCCUAAUUCACACACAAACCGUCAUUUUUAUACGAUGUUGAACAAACGCUAAAUCAUUUUGAGUCUGUGACCCAUUGAGUGUUAAUGAGGCUACAGUUAGCCUAGCUUAGCACAGACGGAAGACGCUAGCCAACAUGUCAUUAUUAAACUCAAUUCUUUUGCUUAAUUCACACACGAACCGUCAUUUUUUUUCUCCUUACGAUAAGGAAACGCCAAAUCAUUUUGAGUGACCUGUUUUGAGUGUGAAUGAGGCUACAGUUAGCCUAGCUUAGCACAAACAGACGAAGCAGCUAGUCAACAUGUUUAACUUGUUCCUUUUGCCUAAUUCAUACACAAACCAUAAUUUCUAUACGAUGUUAAGGAAACGCUGAAUCAUUUUGAGUCCGUGACCCGUUUAUUGAAAUUCGACGUCACAAAAACUCAGACAAGAAAUGAGUUUAAGGAGAAUUCGGUGCCACCUGCUGUUUAUUUUUGCAAACCACCGACUGUAACGAAUGAAAA